rnacentral:misc_RNA from 1 species
UUGUGGAGGAGGACGCCGAAGGUGGGGCUAAUGACUGGGGUGAAGUCGUAACAAGGUAGCCGUACCGGAAGGUGCGGCUGGAUCACCUCCUAACAGGGAGACAACAAAAUGUUUAAUAUUAUUAUUUUGUCACCUUAGGUCGAUCGGUAUCUCACGUUCUUAAUUUAUUAAGAAUUUCAUUUCCUAAGUUUUUCUAGGUCACACCCAUUAUUUUCCCUGGGCCAUUAGCUCAGGUGGUUAGAGCGCACCCCUGAUAAGGGUGAGGUCCCUGGUUCAAGUCCAGGAUGGCCCAUAUCUCUAUGUUGGGGGUAUAGCUCAGUUGGUAGAGCGCCUGCUUUGCAAGCAGGAUGUCAGCGGUUCGAGUCCGCUUACCUCCACUGAUUACCACCUCUUCCAUAAUCUGUAAAAGGGAAUGUUUUGAGUUGUGAUCAAAUUCUGAACGAAUCUAGCUUCCUAAUUUAACAAUUAAGAUGCUGGACUCAUUGAAUUAAUUUCAUUGUUUUCAGAGAACCUUGACAACUGCAUAGAUUAUUUUUAAAGACAAUAAGCAUCUCAAAUGAUGCAGAUUUAUUAUUUGUGCGAAUGCAUUAAUAACAAUUCUAUUAAGCUGAUGCUUCAAUUUUUGAAGUUAUUGGUCAAGCUACAA